AGUGAACGCUGGCGGUAGGCCUAACACAUGCAAGUCGAACGGCAGCACAGUAAGAGCUUGCUCUUACGGGUGGCGAGUGGCGGACGGGUGAGGAAUACAUCGGAAUCUACUUUUUCGUGGGGGAUAACGUAGGGAAACUUACGCUAAUACCGCAUACGACCUACGGGUGAAAGCAGUGGAUCUUCGGACCUUUCGCGAUUGAAUGAGCCGAUGUCGGAUUAGCUAGUUGGCGGGGUAAAGGCCCACCAAGGCGACGAUCCGUAGCUGGUCUGAGAGGAUGAUCAGCCACACUGGAACUGAGACACGGUCCAGACUCCUACGGGAGGCAGCAGUGGGGAAUAUUGGACAAAGGGCGCAAGCCUGAUCCAGCCAUACCGCGUGGGUGAAGAAGGCCUUCGGGUUGUAAAGCCCUUUUGUUGGGAAAGAAAAGCAGCAGGUUAAUACCCCGCUGUUCUGACGGUACCCAAAGAAUAAGCACCGGCUAACUUCGUG
rnacentral:rRNA from 1 species